rnacentral:rRNA from 1 species
GACGAACGCUGGCGGCGUGCUUAACACAUGCAAGUCGAACGGAAAGGCCCUGCUUUUGUGGGGUGCUCGAGUGGCGAACGGGUGAGUAACACGUGAGUAACCUGCCCUUGACUUUGGGAUAACUUCAGGAAACUGGGGCUAAUACCGGAUAGGAGCUCCUGCUGCAUGGUGGGGGUUGGAAAGUUUCGGCGGUUGGGGAUGGACUCGCGGCUUAUCAGCUUGUUGGUGGGGUAGUGGCUUACCAAGGCUUUGACGGGUAGCCGGCCGGGGAGGGUGACCGGCCAAAUUGGGACUGGGAUACGGCCCAGGCUCCUACGGGGGGCAGGAGUGGGGAAUAAUGGACAAUGGGCGGAAGACUGAUGCAGCAACGCCGCGUGCGGGGUGACGGCCUUCGGGUUGUAAACCGCUUUCGCCUGUGACGAAGCGUGGGUGACGGUAAUGGGUAAAGAAGCACCGGCUAACUACGU